AAUCAACGCUGGCGGCGUGCCUAACACAUGCAAGUCGAACGCGAAAAGGGCUUCGGCCCUUAGUAGAGUGGCGAACGGGUGAGUAACACGUGGGUGACCUACCUUUGAAUGGGGGAUAACGUCCCGAAAGGGACGCUAAUACCGCAUAACAUCCUGCUUUUGAACAGGUGGAGAUCAAAGCCGGGGAUCGCAAGACCUGGCGUUUGAAGAGGGGCCCGCGUCUGAUUAGCUAGUUGGUGAGGUAACGGCCCACCAAGGCAACGAUCAGUAUCCGGCCUGAGAGGGGCGGACGGACACACUGGGACUGAGACACGGCCCAGACUCCUACGGGAGGCAGCAGUGGGGAAUUGUUCGCAAUGGGCGCAAGCCUGACGACGCAACGCCGCGUGGAGGAUGAAGGUCUCGGAUUGUAAACUCCUGUUGCCCGGGACGAAUGCUCCGACCUAACACGUCGGAGUGUG
rnacentral:rRNA from 1 species